rnacentral:rRNA from 1 species
GUAGUUGGAUUUCUGUUGAGAAUGUCCAGUCCGCACAUUGUGCGAGUAUUUGGUACAGUCUUGGCAUCCUCCUGGGGAGCGUUGAUGUACUUGAUUGUAUGUUGCGUGAUUCAGGACUUUUACUUUGAGGAAAUUAGAGUGUUCACGGCAGGCGUUUGCCUUGAAUAUGUUAGCAUGGAAUAAUAAUAUAAGACCUCGGUUUUAUUUUGUUGGUUUCUAGAAGCGAGGUAAUGAUUAAUAGGGACAAUUGGGGGUAUUCGAAUUAACGCGUCAGAGGUGGGAUUCUUGGAUUGCGUUACGACGAACUACUGCGAAAGCAUUUACCAAGGAUGUUUUCAUUGAUCAAGAACGAAAGUCAGGGGAUCGAAGACGAUUAGAUACCGUCGUAGUCUUGACCAUAAACUAUGCCGACUAGAGAUUGGAGGUUCGCUCUUUUUACGGCUCCUUCAGCAUCUUAUGAGAAAUCAAAGUUUUUGGGUUCCGGGGGGAGUAUGGUCGCAAGGCUGAAACUUAAAGGAAUUGACGGAAGGGCACCUCCAGGAGUGGAGCCUGCGGCUUAAUUUGACUCAACACGGGAAAACUUACCAGGGUCCAGAC